rnacentral:rRNA from 1 species
GACAGAGGGUGCAAACGUUGUUCGGAAUUACUGGGCGUAAAGCGCGUGUAGGCGGCUUGGCAAGUCGGGUGUGAAAGCCCCGGGCUCAACCUGGGAAGUGCACUCGAAACUGCUUGGCUUGAGUACUGGAGAGGGAAGCGGAAUUCUCGGUGUAGAGGUGAAAUUCGUAGAUAUCUGGAGGAACACCGGUGGCGAAGGCGGCGUUCUGGACUGCAACUGACACUGAAAAACGAAAGCCAGGGGAGCAAACGGG